rnacentral:misc_RNA from 1 species
CCCGUCCAAUUGACCCUUGUUAGUGUGUAGUGAGUGCAGCCUUUAGGAUCUGACAUUGAUAGGAGAGUAGGAAAAUAAUGCUCUUCUGGGUAGCAUUCAUCGGCCCUGUAACAGGGCUGCUUAAAUUUCUUCCAUAGGCUCCGAUCCUUGAUCAGAAUGAGAGCGUGCCGGCGCGUUAUAACGAAAAACUGAGACCCAACUCUGAAUUUCUCAAAGGGCACUUCUGGCAUCAAGGAAUAUCUCCCCCUAGCAACGUAACGCUUCCAUAGACGAGGUUCUUUGGAGUUAAUUUCGAUGAAACUCUUGUAUUGAACUCGAACUCCGUAUUGAGUGGACUCAGAGUCUGAUUCAGAAGACGUGAGAUCGAAAGAUUUGGAAGAGAUGAGAGAGUUAUAGACAUAGCUAAACGAAUGGAGCGGGAUACAGUACUGGGAAAGGACAGCGAAGUAAGCGUUGGCAGGAUCAUCAAGAAUAGCGGUGGCCAAGAGGCGGCGCGUGGCGGAGACCAAAGUAGGAGACGCACGGUAGGUACGUUUGGCAUGUUGAAUGAACUGGGUCUUGAAAACACCAUCUGGACGAGUGAUAUUUACAGAAGGAUCGGCAUGGACAUAGAUAUUGUAGAGAUCCUUAUUCGAUUUAAAGAACUUUUCCCACAAAGGAGCGAAGUAGAGAUCGGUGUUGGUGAGGAAAAGGAAGGCGAUUUUGAGCUUGGGGUGUUUGGAGGAGGAGAGGUGAGAGAAUGAGGAAGGGUGGGAGGAGGCCG